AUGCAAGUCGAACGAAAAGAGGGAAAGAGCUUGCUCUUUCCGGAAUUGAGUGGCAAACGGGUGAAUAACACGUGGGUAACCUACCUCUAAGUUGGGGAUAACAGUUGGAAACGACUGAUAAUACCGAAUAAGCUCUACGGAGUAAAGAAGCUAUUAAGCUUCGCUAAGAGAUGGGCCUGCGGCGUAUUAGCUAGUUGGUGGGGUAAGAGCCUACCAAGGCGACGAUGCGUAGCCGAACUGAGAGGUUGAUCGGCCACACUGGGACUGAGACACGGCCCAGACUCC
rnacentral:rRNA from 1 species